AAAAACAUCUUUAUGUUGAAUCCACACACACAAAAUGAGGUGAUGGUGGCUUUGAGUCUGGCACGGUCCAUUCUUCAAGACUGGAAUGAAUUUCCCAUCCUCUGAAAGUCCUUUUCCUUCUACUUCAGUGAUGGUAAAUGUGAACGGUGACAGAUGUGGGCAGCUGUCAGUUUCUUGCAUCUGCUGUGCACCUUCCACACUGACUCAGAUCUGAUAGAUAACCUUCUAUCUGUGAGCCUCCUCACCUCUGCAGCAGUGUGGGCAGGAAUAGCCCCAUCACAGUGACCAUCUGAAGACUGCAGAGGGUUCAGAGUUCUUCAGUCGCUCUGGUGGAAGCCCAGGACUGAUGCAGUCUGACUGGGCCGUCUAUGGCUCAGCGGUCCUUUGGUGCCUUUGGACCCAUCAGGGUUUGGGAUUUGAGUGGUGUGUCAGAGAGAGAAAUACAAACAGCAAGAGACAGAGAGGUGCUGCAAGAAAAGUGCACUUUUGCUUUGCAGUGCCAUCAGGAAGUGAAUGAGAGCGAACAACAAGAAAACAAGUCAAGGAGAACAACAAUAUGGCUUUUCCAUGUCUACACAUGUAGACAUUUCAUCUUUGAUUCUUGGUAAUAUUUCAAAUGCAGGAUAAACCCGCUCACUUUCAUGUUCACAGUCAAUUCCAGACUGCUUAUAUUUACAUUUUAUAUUUACAUCUGACACAUUUAUUCAGCUGUGGCUCUCAUCCUGAUGACCCACAAUAAGUAGUUGUUCCCAACACUGCUUCAUGUUCUCUCCAUCCGUAACAGGUCUCUCUCACAUGCUUAGACACUAAACUUAUAUUUCUCAUAAAUCUCUGUCGUCUCUCUUCAUGCCACAGCUCCCAGUCAAAGGCAUUUGGCAGUAGCCACUUUUUUUUCCAGUAGCAUUCAGUACAUUUGGAGGAUGAAAAAUGGUGCAAUCAGCAGUAUGUGUUUCAUAUCGAACUUUCUUCACACUUAGCCAGUGGUGCUGAUGAUUUAUACAUGGGAAAGCUGCUGAGCUCCUCCUCUAGUUUUUUCAUUCCCUC
ensembl:lncRNA